rnacentral:rRNA from 1 species
AUGUACAUUCCUACAACAUAGCGUUAAUGCACUGGAUCCCAUUAGAACUCCAUAGUUAAGUGCACUUAGGCUAGAGUAGUACUGGGAUGGGUGACCUCCCGAGAAGUCCAACUAUUUUACAUG